CCUACGUGAGGCAGCAGUGGGGAAUUUUGCGCAAUGCUCGUAAGAGUGACGCAGCGACGCCGCGUGAAUGACGAAAGCCUUCGGGUCGUAAAGUUCUUUCGACAGGGAAGAAAAUGCCUAUAAGUAACUGUGUAUGUAUUGACGGUACCUGUAUAAGCAGCCCCGGCUAACUCCGUGCCAGCAACCGCGGUAAUACGGGGGGGGCGAGCGUUAUCCGGAGUUAUUGGGUUUAAAGGGUGCGUAGGCGGGCCUUGAGGCCGGCGGGAAAAUUGCGGGGCUCAACCCCGCCGAGCCGUCGGAAUCGGGGGCCUUGAGUACCGGAGAAGUACGCGGAAUGUGUGGUGUAGCGGUGAAAUGCAUAGAUAUCACGCAGAACCCCGAUUGCGAAGGCAGCGUACCGGCCGGUCACUGACGCUGAGGCACGAAAGCGCGGGUAUCGAACAGGAUUAGAUACCCCUGUAGUC
rnacentral:rRNA from 1 species